CCCCCUCACCAUUCAUUCACACUGUGUCUCAGAAUAGCUUUUAACAGUCUUUGUCAUCCAAAAAAAAAACACCUUACCAUUUCUGUGAUUUAAAAGUGCAGUACAUGAGAUUCAUUUUCUCUCGGUUCUUUUUUUGAUUCUUUUAGUUGUUCAGGAUCCUGCUGCUCUUUAUUUCUCCCUCAGAGGUCAACACAACAGCCUAUAUGCCCUUAAGUUUGAAAACGCAAAGAAUUUAUAGAUAUGAUUGUUUAAAUACGUAAAUAAAAUGUAUAUCUGUAAAGGUUGUCUUUAUUUACUGAAUGUCUUAACAAAUGGAGCACAGCUGUAUUAUACAGUCGAGAUUAAGUUUGUGAACCCCUACAUGAACCUGGACAUUUUUAUGAAUUGAUCCUAAAAUGUGACGUGAUUGUCUAAAUCACAGUAAAAAUAGAUACUCAUGAUGUGGUAAACAGACAGUAUUAAUAGAUAACAGACAGUAUUAAUAGAUACUCGUGAUGUGGGUAAACAGACAGUAUUAAUAGAUAACAGACAGUAUUAAUAGAUACUCAUGAUGUGGUAAACAGACAGUAUUAAUAGAUAACAGACAGUAUUAAUAGAUACUCGUGAUUAUUAAUAGAUAACAGACAGUAUUAAUAGAUACUCGUGAUGUGGGUAAACAGACAGUAUUAAUAGAUAACAGACAGUAUUAAUAGAUACUCAUGAUGUGGUAAACAGACAGUAUUAAUAGAUAACAGACAGUAUUAAUAGAUACUCGUGAUGUGGGUAAACAGACAGUAUUAAUAGAUAACAGACAGUAUUAAUAGAUAACAGACAGUAUUAAUAGAUACUCGUGAUGUGGUAAACAGACAGUAUUAAUAGAUAACAGACAGUAUUAAUAGAUAACAGACAGUAUUAAUAGAUAACAGACAGUAUUAAUAGAUACUCGUGAUGUGGAUAAACAGACAGUAUUAAUAGAUACUCGUGAUGUGGAUAAACAGACCCACCUCUUAUAGUGAGGAGGAGCAUCAUGGGUAAUCAGUCGGGGAACAGUCAAUUUCAAGCAGAAAGAAUCUUAAAAUGAGGCAAUAAUACAAUAUUAGAGACUCUGAUUAAACAUAAAAAACUAUACUACUAAAACACAUAUACAACUAUUAUACAAUCUACCAGAGUUAUAAACAAAACAGCUCUUAAUCACACCACUACUGAUUAUUUCAAUGAAUUGUGUUUAUAAUUCAUAUAUACUUUAUUAUGAAAAUAGGAAAAAUACAAAUUUGAAUAUAAAGAAAAAAAGUGUCAUUAGAAAGAUACUGAAGACCUAAUGCUUCCAUGCAAAUGGUUGUUUCAUAUGGGAUCUGUGUUUGUAAACAAGUUGUGUAAAGCAGGCAUGACUCAGAAUGUGUAAGCCCAGGAUCAUAAGAGCUUUACGCCCAACCUGAGCUUCAUUGACACAUUGCACCUUGAGUACGGGACGUUCGGAUGACUGCAACAGACAGACCACUGCUUUACACUCAGACCUGUCCAGGCCGCUACUCCGUCCCGGUUGCUUCACUCUGUUGGAUCUUCUCACAUCUGUGUUU
ensembl:lncRNA